AGCGAACGCUGGCGGCAGGCUUAACACAUGCAAGUCGAACGGGCAUAGCAAUAUGUCAGUGGCAGACGGGUGCGUAACGCGUGGGAACGUACCUUUUGGUUCGGAACAACACAGGGAAACUUGUGCUAAUACCGGAUAAGCCCUUACGGGGAAAGAUUUAUCGCCGAAAGAUCGGCCCGCGUCUGAUUAGCUAGUUGGUAGGGUAAUGGCCUACCAAGGCGACGAUCGGUAGCUGGUCUGAGAGGAUGAUCAGCCACAUUGGGACUGAGACACGGCCCAAACUCCUACGGGAGGCAGCAGUGGGGAAUAUUGGACAAUGGGCGAAAGCCUGAUCCAGCCAUGCCGCGUGAGUGAUGAAGGCCCUAGGGUUGUAAAGCUCUUUUGUGCGGGAAGAUAAUGACGGUACCGCAAGAAUAAGCCCCGGCUAACUUCGUG
rnacentral:rRNA from 1 species